rnacentral:rRNA from 1 species
CAGUAGCCGCGGGAAUACGUAGGUGGCAAGCGUUGUCCGGAAUUAUUGGGCGUAAAGGGCUCGCAGGCGGUUUCUUAAGUCUGAUGUGAAAGCCCCCGGCUCAACCGGGGAGGGUCAUUGGAAACUGGGAAACUUGAGUGCUGAAGAGGGGAGUGGAAUUCCACGUGUAGCGGUGAAAUGCGUAGAGAUGUGGAGGAACACCAGUGGCGAAGGCGACUCUCUGGUCUGUAACUGACGCUGAGGAGCGAAAGCGUGAGGAGCGAACAGGAUUAGAUACCCGAGUAGUCCCUGUCUCUUAUAC